UUGAGCUUGUUUUUAAGAUAGGAAAAAAGACUUCUAAUCUUUAAAUAGUGCGCUCACUCCAUCUUUAGUUGAAG
rnacentral:tRNA from 1 species